ensembl:lncRNA
GAAAGGUUUUGGUUGGGUACAGAAAAAUAAAUGCAAACAUGUCAGAUGGCAAUACACUGACCAAAAACCUGACCGUUAUAGUUGGCCAUGUAAAUGGAAAUGAUCUCUUACACAAACUUCUGACAGAUGGAUCUACAGCCAAUGCAAUGGGGGUUACAGGGCCUGAAGCUGAGACAUCUGAAGCCAGAAGGAGUGUGAAAGAGCAAGGAGGAAUGGAGAAUAUUGAUGAAGAGACAAUGGAAAAGAAUGCAAAUGUAGUGAAUGCCACUCCCUUUUUAACAAGACAGCCUGAGACAACACUUUACCAGCCACUCACCACCACAUCAGCUCCUCCAUCCCUACACAAUCAUCACGUCCCUACACCACAAUCUUUGGCACAACCUGAGAGAGUGAAUCAAUAUACAGCAAGAAAUCGGUCAACAGCAGAAAGACCACCUAGAAAAAACAGUAUGCGGGCAUUUCCAUUGUCCAUCCCCAGACAGCCAACUAGACCAAAAGCCCCAAGUUUAUCUUCUCCACCAAUAGUAGGUAGACCACUUUUUAAGUCAAAUUCCUCUUCCUCAUCUUUUGAGACACAAAAACACAAGCAUACAUCUUGGCCUAGUCCCAUCGCCUCUCGUUUUGCAAAAGAACCACAUGUUGAGAAGGAAGUGUUAAAUUCAAUUCCAUCCGCAAGGCAGUUCCAGGAUUCAACUCCUGAACUUGCUCACAAGUCCAAAACUGAGACUCCAACUCCACUGCCAGUCAAAUUCCCCUUGAAAAAAGACACUGCUAUGAAAGACAGAGGCGUUGAAGAAUCAGAUCUGAUGCCAUAUAGGCGCACACCGUUUAGGGGUUCCUAUCCUCGUCGUCCUUUUCAGAACCGUAUGAGGCCAAUUCUAGAGUCACCUCAGCACCCCUACCAGGGAUUACCAGUAAGACGGCCUUUUUCUUCCAAACCCAAUAUCAGAAACAACAGGAUUAUCAACCAAGGUGGUCCUAUCCAACCAGUAAACUCCGCUUUAACCCCUGCAAAAGAAAACGGCACGAGUAUUAAGAUUAGACCGAAUGUAAUUCUUAACAGGACCAAUGGAUCAUCCAACAGACAUUCCCAAAUAAAAAAUGGCGGUAAUACUCAAGUGGUCUCAAAUAUCAGUCAGUAUAGAAAAGGAAACUCUGACAGUUCUUUUCCCACAGACCAUCCCAUGGAAAAUGAUAAUAGCUCUCAGGAAUAUGUGUUGAGUGAAACAGAUGGCUCCAUUGAGCAUGUGGGGGUCAACAAUAUGACAUCAACAGGGUUUGUACUAAUAUGGGGUGCAC